UACGGAGGGUGCAAGCGUUAUCCGGAUUCACUGGGGUUAAAGGGUGCGUAGGUGGGCUGGUAAGUCAGUGGUGAAAUCUCCGUGCUUAACAUGGAAACUGCCAUUGAUACUACUGGUCUUGAAUUUUCUGGAGGUAAGCGGAAUAUGUCAUGUAGCGGUGAAAUGCUUAGAUAUGACAUAGAACACCAAUUGCGAAGGCAGCUUACUACAGGGACAUUGACACUGAGGCACGAAAGCGUGGGGAUCAAACAGG
rnacentral:rRNA from 1 species